UACAGAGGUCUCAAGCGUUGUUCGGAUUCAUUGGGCGUAAAGGGUGCGUAGGCGGCGCGGUAAGUCGGGUGUGAAAUCUCGGAGCUUAACUCCGAAACUGCAUUCGAUACUGCCGUGCUUGAGGACUGGAGAGGAGACUGGAAUUUACGGUGUAGCGGUGAAAUGCGUAGAUAUCGUGAGGAAGACCAGUGGCGAAGGCGGGUCUCUGGACAGUUCCUGACGCUGAGGCGCGAAGGUGAGGGGAGCAAACGGG
rnacentral:rRNA from 1 species